AGGUGAAUGAGAGUGUGGUGGGGGAGAGAUUGUGGGAGGGAGGCAGUUAUCGAGAUGUAGAGUGGAAAAAAAUUGAGAGAGAAGUUUCUUGAAGCCUCCUAGCAUUGUUCUAUGUUGUGUUCUCUUGAAGACAUUACAUGAAAUGGAGUGGGAGGGCAGAACUGAAAGACUGGGCAAAAGAGAAGCUGAUCUCUAAGCCAAUCCUCUCAAGAGGCCCAGGGGGAGAAGCACAGAUAGAUGGAGUCAUUCACAUUAAUCAAGUACAUUUGUGACUAUGACUGAAGGAGCUGAAGGGGU
rnacentral:sRNA from 1 species